rnacentral:rRNA from 1 species
UACGUAGGGAGCAAGCGUUGUCCGGAAUCAUUGGGCGUAAAGCGCGCGUAGGUGGCCAUUUAAGUCCGCUGUGAAAGUCAAAGGCUCAACCUUUGAAAGCCGGUGGAUACUGGGUGGCUAGAGUACGGAAGAGGCGAGUGGAAUUCCUGGUGUAGCGGUGGAAUGCGCAGAUAUCAGGAGGAACACCAAUAGCGAAGGCAGCUCGGUGGGACGUUACUGACACUGAGGCGCGAAAGCGUGGGGAGCGAACAGG